rnacentral:rRNA from 1 species
UACGGAGGGGGCCAGCGUUGUUCGGAAUCAUUGGGCGUAAAGGGCGCGUAGGCGGACCUGCAAGUCGGGGGUGAAAGCCCGAGGCUCAACCUCGGAACUGCCUUCGAUACUGCGGGUCUCGAGUCCGGGAGAGGUGAGUGGAAUUCCUAGUGUAGAGGUGAAAUUCGUAGAUAUUAGGAAGAACACCAGUGGCGAAGGCGGCUCACUGGCCCGGUACUGACGCUGAGGCGCGAAAGCGUGGGGAGCAAACAGG